rnacentral:lncRNA from 1 species
AAUUUUGAAUUCCCUAUAUUCGAAGCAAAGGAAGAUGAUGUUGAAGGGAUUCUUGACGAGAUUUCCCGACUUCUUGAGCAAGAAAAGAAGAUCACUCAGCUGCAUCUCGAGAAUCAGCAAAACAGUCCAACUGGGGCAUUACAAAUGUAAUCAAAAAAAGAAAAGAAAGAGGAGGGUGAAAAAUCAAAAAAACCAAAAUCAAAAUCAAAAGAAAAAAAAAGAAAGAAAGAAACAAAAGAAAAAUAACACCCUCAAAUCCCAAGUUGACUGAUGCUGAAU